GUGAAGGAGUAGACACCUAGUACAAUUAUUUAUACUGUAUUUUAACAUCAUCAGGAAUACAAAGCAUAUCAAUUCAGGUCUGAAUAUAAAAAUCCUUAUUCUGAGGGAGUUAGCCUAUAUCUCUCGCUAUAAUUAAUUGAUAGAAAAUCUUUUUUUAUUAAGGAGUAAAAGAGUAAAAGAGGUAAAACAGAGAACAUAAAAGAAGUUCUACCAACUAGGAAAGCAUUUGUACCAAAUUCUGGUCUUUGAGAAUUCCUGGAUGUUUCUUAAAUUAUCAACUGAGGAAAAAGAUAAGUGUCCUAUAACCAUUAGGUCUACAUUAUUUAAGAAGAUCUAUGUACCUUCAUUCUCCAAAUCUGACUUUUGUAAAAAAGAAAACCAAAUGUCCAGAGCUAUUAUAGUAUUCAUACCACCCAAGGCUGCCUGAUGCAAAGUCCAUGACACUGCUCAUGUAUCACUUGCCUUUCAUUUCUUAUCCCUCUGACUGUAACAACCAGAUGGAUCUCACGUGAACAAAUCAUUUCCCUUCAUAAAAUGAGGAAACAGAAACCAGAAUUCAUGAACCUGCUAAACCAAAACUCAUGAAUCUGCUAAUUACGUCUUUUCCAUAAUAGAGAUUCUUUGAUAAUUCUUAAAACUGUGUGUGUAUAUAUUUACCAACCACACACAAACUAAAAUUUAUAUUGAUAUUUAUAUUGUCUUGAUUAUGUCUACUUGGUAAGACUGAACAGCAUAUAAAUAUUAUUUCAAAAAUGACAGACCAAACAAGUUGAAAUAAAUAUCCUCUAACAUCUCAACUUUGUGUGGUUAAAGGAAGAAAUAAAUUCAUGUAGAUAUUAAACUUGGUCAUGUCUGAAAAUAUGGCAAAGGAUACCUUUUUCACAUUGAAGAAGUAUGGACAUUAUCUCCAUCCAACUAUUCCCUCCAAAUGUAACUGUGUAUUCUCUUGUUUAUUAGUUUUUUUAUUAGAAAGAAGUAUGCUUAAAAGAAAAGGUAUACACAAAAUUCCAUAAAAUCAAACAAAAAAAAUCUGCUGAGACUGUAUAAAUACACUGUGAUAUUACACAUGGCUAAAAUUUUUUUAAUCUCCAAAUAAGGAAAAGAUUGUUUGGA
rnacentral:lncRNA from 1 species